rnacentral:rRNA from 1 species
AGAUUGAACGCUGGCGGCAUGCCUUACACAUGCAAGUCGAACGGUAACGCGGGGCAACCUGGCGACGAGUGGCGAACGGGUGAGUAAUGCAUCGGAACGUGCCCAAUAGUGGGGGAUAGCUCGGCGAAAGCCGGAUUAAUACCGCAUACGACCUACGGGUGAAAGCGGGGGAUCGCAAGACCUCGCGCUAAUGGAGCGGCCGAUGUCAGAUUAGGUUGUUGGUGGGGUAAAAGCCUACCAAGCCGACGAUCUGUAGCUGGUCUGAGAGGACGACCAGCCACACUGGGACUGAGACACGGCCCAGACUCCUACGGGAGGCAGCAGUGGGAAUUUGGACAAUGGGGCAACCUGAUCCAGCCAUGCCGCGUGCGGAAGAAGGCCUUCGGUGUAAACCGCUUUGUCUAGGAAGAACGCUCAGCUAAUACUGGUAAGUGACGUACCUAGAAGAA